AUUGAACGCUGGCGGCAGGCCUAACACAUGCAAGUCGAACGAGUGGCGGACGGGUGAGUAAUGUCUGGGAAACUGCCCGAUGGAGGGGGAUACCAACUGGAAACGGUAGCUAAUACGGCAUACCAUCGGAGGUGCCCAGAUGGGAUUAGCUAGUGGGUGGGGUAACGGCUAACCUGGGGGACGAUCCCUAGCUGGUCUGAGAGGAUGACCAGCCACACUGGCACUGAGACACGGUCCAGACUCCUACGGGAGGCAGCAGUGGGGAAUAUUGCACAAUGGGCGCAAGCCUGAUGCAGCCAUGCCGCGUGUAUGAAGAAGGCCUUCGGGUUGUAAAGUACUUUCAGCGAGGAGGCGUUACUCGCAGAAGAAGCACCGGCUAACUCCGUGCCAGCAGCCGCGGUAAUUC
rnacentral:rRNA from 1 species